AAGAGAAGUAGUUCCCUGUUUGGGUUUAUAUAUCCAGUGACAAUUACAUCAGAGAAAAAGUCUUUGGCGAAGUAAUGGAGCAUUUUCCAACGACCGGUGUAAUCUAGCAAAAAAAAUGGAUGUUAUUUUAUAUUUUUUGUGGACUUUUACUAAUGUACCAACUUAAAGUAAGUAUAUUAUACUCUUUUUGUUAAUCUUAGAUAUAUUAGUUGGUAACUCAUGAUCAACGUACGAUGUUGUGUAUGUUAUAAACAAUGUACCGCCGAGAAUAUACCAGUUGUUCUUCGUCAUACGGGAAUUAUGUUGAUGGCGCAGGCGACGGGCACUCUGCGCGACCUCUCUGAAGAUACGUGGAAGGUUAACGAAUCUUCCGGAAUAAUGGUCUAGCUAAUAUAUAAAGAACCCUCGCCACUAGGAGGCCAGUUCAACUUGGAAUAUUGGCGCGACUUUUAAAUCGAAAUAAAUAGUAUGUGUACGUGUAUAAAAGGCGUGUUCCAUUUAAGAAACAUAUCAGUCAGUAUGUUGCAGAGCUCUAUAAACUAAAUAUUAAACAAAGUCAACAAGUGUAUAUGGGUUCCAUGGUCCAUGAAAUAGCCAAAACUUUAAUACCUGAAUAUUUAGUUGAACUUAUUAAAUUUCAUAGAGACCGACAUGAAAUUAAUAUCAGACGAAUAGAUAAUAUCAAUAUUGCUAUUAAAAUUAUUAGUUCUAUUAUUAUAACAUUUCUUUUGUUCUCAGUUUAUUAUUUGAUAAUUGUUAAAAACUGCUAUACGGAUAUAUUACCUAUUAUCUAUUUGUAAGCCGAUAAAAGAUUUAUUAAAUCAGAUGAUUAUUUUUAUGCA